GAAUUAAUCACUUACCUUUCUGAUUGCUGUACUCUGUAUAGUCGUUGAUCUGAAAGAUUUAUCAUCAUGCGUUUUUUGAUGACCGCUCUUCUCUUGGUUGCUGUAGUUAUGAUUGUUGCUGAAGCGGGUCGUGGCGGUCGUCGUCAUAGACGUCGUUAUAGAUAUAACAGACCAUCGUUGAGAAACGUCAGUUGUCAAGAUGUAAAGAAUGCAGGUGUUUGUGACAGGUGCUGUGAUCCGUGUAGGAGUAUAGAGUGUUGUGCGCCUCUAACGUGUGACAGGGGAGUGUGUAAAUGUAAUGGCAACGUCUGUGGGGAUGAUCAAACCUGCACUGGAACUUGUGAUACUGCAAGUUGUACAGACAAUUGAUAAUGAACAAACUAGAUCAGAAUAACAGUCUUUACGACCAACAUCAGCUUCUGAAGUCGAACUGGAUUCACAUUUUACUUUACAGUAUUAUCUUAAAAUAAUAUGAUACAUAAUGAAUGAAACUGACACAUUAUUUUAAUGUUUAUCUGUUAUUCCAUGCCGUUGACAAGAAGAUAUGGUUAUUUUUACAUAAUUGA